GUUAUUUUAAAUAGAUGUUGUUGAAUUAAGGCUACAUAAUUUUAUAGGUGUUCUUUUAUUGAGACCCUUUGUAAGCCUGAAUGAGCUAUAUGCUAAUGAUAGUUUUUUAAACUAGUCGACUGAAUCUACAGAGUGGUUAUACUCUGGAUUGUUAUAUAUAUGUGUGUAUAUAUAUAUAUUUAAUUAGUUAGACCAACCAUACCAGGAACCCAACCA
rnacentral:lncRNA from 1 species